rnacentral:lncRNA from 1 species
AAGCCCUUGGGUUUAGUCCAAAUGGCGCGUGAGGAAUAUAUAUAUAUAUAUAUAUAUAUAUAUAUAUAUAUAUAUAUUUGGAAAGUUACUUUUCUCUUUGUAAUGAAGAAUAUCAAUGGAAUUCUGCUGCUUCUGAUUGGAUUAAGGCUAAUAGUGAUUCUGUUAAGGAGGCUGAUAGAGUACAGGCUUUUUUUGCUUGGAACCCUCCUGAACUUGGCCAAUUAAAACUGAAUGUGGAAUGGCUCUGGGAAGAGUGCCUCAGGUCUUAUUGGAGCAGGAGGGGUUAUUCGCGAUUCCGAUGGUGUUUGGAUUGCUGGCUUUGCUGUGAACUUGGGUCAAGGCCAGAUUUUGGAGGUUGAGGUUUGGGGAUUAUAUUUUGGGCUUUAGUUGGCCUUGGUCAAAGGUAUCUCUAAUCUUCUUGUUGAGAUGGAUGCUGCAAUUGCUGUGUCUCUUGUUCAGCAAAUUGGUACAUUGAAUUGUCACCCUCUUGUUGUGUUGGUGGAUAGCAGUUGUGUUCUUAUGAGGGGUAUUGGAAACUGUCACCUUGCUCAUGUUUAUAGAGAAUAGAAUUUUGUAGCA